UACAGAGGGUGCGAGCGUUAAUCGGAAUUACUGGGCGUAAAGCGCGCGUAGGCGGCUUUGCAAGUCGGGUGUGAAAUCCCCAGGCUUAACCUGGGAACUGCAUUCGAGACUGCAUUGCUAGAGUAUGGGAGAGGGAAGUGGAAUUUCCGGUGUAGCGGAGAAAUGCGUAGAUAUCGGAAGGAACAUCAGUGGCGAAAGCGACUUCCUGGACCAAUACUGACGCUCAUGUGCGAAAGCGUGGGGAGCAAACAGG
rnacentral:rRNA from 1 species